rnacentral:tRNA from 1 species
UCCUCCUUAGCUCAAUGGUAGAGCACGCGGCUGUUAACCGCGGGGUUGUUGGUUCGAGCCCAACAGGGGGAG